rnacentral:tRNA from 1 species
GGGCCUAUAAGCUAGUGGUUAGACUGGCUCGUUUACACCGAGCAUGCACCAGUUCGAUUCUGGUUAGGCCCA